rnacentral:rRNA from 1 species
UACAGAGGGUGCAAGCGUUAUUCGGAAUUAUUGGGCGUAAAGCGCAUGUAGGUGGUUAGAUAAGUCUGAUGUGAAAUCCCCGGACUCAAUUCGGGAAGUGCAUUGGAUACUGUUUGACUAGAGUAUGGGAGAGGUAAGCGGAAUUCCAGGUGUAGAGGUGGAAUUCGUAGAUAUCUGGAGGAACAACAGAGGCGAAGGCGGCUUACUGGACCAUUACUGACACUGAGAUGCGAAAGCGUGGGGAGCAAACAGG